rnacentral:rRNA from 1 species
UGGGGAAUAUUGGACAAUGGGCGAAAGCCUGAUCCAGCCAUGCCGCGUGUGUGAAGAAGGUCUUCGGAUUGUAAAGCACUUUAAGUUGGGAGGAAGGGCAGUAAGCGAAUACCUUGCUGUUUUGACGUUACCGACAGAAUAAGCACCGGCUAACUCUGUGCCAGCAGCCGCGGUAAUACAGAGGGUGCAAGCGUUAAUCGGAAUUACUGGGCGUAAAGCGCGCGUAGGUGGUUCGUUAAGUUGAAUGUGAAAGCCCCGGGCUCAACCUGGGAACGGCAUCCAAAACUGGCGAGCUAGAGUAGGGCAGAGGGUGGUGGAAUUUCCUGUGUAGCGGGGAAAUGCGUAGAUAUAGGAAGGAACACCAGUGGCGAAGGCGACAACCUGGGCUCAUACUGACACUGAGGUGCGAAAGCGUGGGGAGCAAACAGG